UAAACUAGGAUUAGAUACCCUAUUAUUUUAAAUAUAAAUUUAUGCUUAGGUAUUAUUAGUUUUGUUCUUUAAACCUAAAGAAUUUGGCGGUGUUUUAGUCUAUUCAGAGGAAUUUGCUUCAUAAUCGAUAAUCCUCGUUUUAUCUUUCUUUAUUUUGUCAAUCAGUAUGUAUACCGCCGUUAUUAGUUUAUUUUUAUAGAAUAAUUUACUUUGUAUUUUAUUAAAUUUUAUUUC
rnacentral:rRNA from 1 species